GUAAUUCUGACCUGCCAAAGCAAAUAUUUCAUGAUCCGCUACUGCGUGGAUUUUCUGAUAUAUCUAUGUAAACUAUGGGCUUUAUUUAAAUCAUGUAUGUCUUUAUUAACACCAGGUACAUAUUUAAAGCUUUUGUGAGAUUUAUUGUGCAAUGCCAGCAGAAGACUCUUGAUCUCCCUGCAACUUGGCAGUCUGUGCUUUUACCAAUCACCAGCUGACAUCGAGGAGAGAAAGCAAAAUGCUGAUGAGGAGGAAGAACAGGAGCAAUCAAGAGUGCUUCAGCCUUUGCCUGGACAUCCAAGUGACAAUGGACGUUUUUAUCUGUUAACUAUUAUCUGUUAACUUGGGGGAGACUUAAGAGAGCUGUAUGGUUUGACUCCCCAGUAACUACCAGGCAUAAUAGCAGGCAUUUUACCCAAGGAAAAAGAACUGACAUUUGCUAAGUUGUCUGCUAGAUACUAGAAAACAGGCUACUUUUUAUAUGCACAUUUCAUUGAUUCCACAGAACAUAAUACCUUUUUUUGCAAGUGAAGAACUAGUUUUCAAAGGUUUGCAGAUGUAGCAAGUAUGUAGAAGAGGCAGGGAUUAAACAGGUCUGAACAACUCCCUCUAUUUUACUCUUUCAAAAAUACCAAGUUAGUAAGACUAGGAAAGUAAAACUCCUGUUAACAACUAGGGGAUCUUGGAAACGACACUUCUUAGAGUUAUUAUAUUAUUAACAUAUUUUUCAAAUGCAGUCUCUGUAUUGAUAGGAAUGUAAGUUCAAAUAUUUUAGAGGUUUUUACAAGGAGGUAGAAAUAUCAAACACAUUAAGAACCAUCCCAAGUAUUUUUGUUUUCAUUCCAAAAUUUCUCAGCGAACUUGUUUUGCUUUUAUUAAACCUAAGGUAAAUUGCAGAGCAAUCACUAUCAACAUUAUUUAAAUCUCUUAAUAGGCGAAGAGUAAAGUUUCUAAGUUGUGUUGUAUCACUAUGGGUGAAAUGAAGAGCUUCAUUUUGUCAGAGUGGUUAUUGUCCGUUCUCCGAGUUGAUUUCAUAACUACUAAUACCAACCCUCUUACCUAAUCUCACUGCUUUAGAGAAUGGCUUGAGGCCUUCCCAUAUCUCAUCCUGGUUUUGUUUGUUUUCAAAUCUCUCCUUUCUCACCGGAGCUCAUAGUUCUCUGUUGUUUUU
rnacentral:lncRNA from 1 species